rnacentral:rRNA from 1 species
CCUACGGGAGGCAGCAGUGAGGAAUAUUGGUCAAUGGGAGGAAUCCUGAACCAGCCAUGCCGCGUGCAGGACGACGGCUCUACGAGUUGUAAACUGCUUUUGUACCGGGGUAAAAUGCUCUACGAGUAGGGUUUUGAAAGUACGGUACGAAUAAGGAUCGGCUAACUCCGUGCCAGCAGCCGCGGUAAUACGGAGGAUCCGAGCGUUAUCCGGAUUUAUUGGGUUUAAAGGGUGCGUAGGUUGUUUUAUAAGUUAGCGGUGAAAUACCGAUGCUCAACAUCGGGGCUGCCGCUAAUACUGUAGGACUAGAGAGCGGAUGCAGCAGGCGGAAUGUGUAGUGUAGCGGUGAAAUGCAUAGAUAUUACACAGAACACCGAUUGCGAAGGCAGCUUGCUAGGCCGGAUCUGACACUGAUGCACGAAAGCGUGGGGAUCGAACAGGAUUAGAUACCCGAGUAGUC